GCAGAUUGAUGAAAUCUAUUCUCUUUUCCAAGCCUGCUUGAGCCCCAGACUGUAGCCUGGUGGGCCACGUGAGAACAGUGCCCGCAACCACAGCCGAGAGAGGUGUUAUUUACAUAUUUAUUAGAAAUUCUGUCCUGCUGGCAAGAGACGCUCACUUCUGACUUUAAUUCCGAUAAGUAAACAACCCCAUUGGCAAGAAAGAGGGG
rnacentral:lncRNA from 1 species